rnacentral:rRNA from 1 species
UAUAUAAUAUAAUAUUUUAUGUAACUACAAAUGUCAGAAUUCUUUUUUAUCCUUAGUAUAGUAAUAGAAAUAAUUUAAAUAUUAAAAAGUAAUAAUAU